CCAUGCAUGCCUUGAUAGAAGAGCAUCUCUCUGAAUCUGCGAACGGCUCCGCACACCAGUUGUAAACUAUAGCAAGUAUGCUACCGCAUGCUGGCAUCUACAGUCCAGUAUGAGGGGUUCAAAUGGACAACCCUGGUAAUUCUGAGGCUAAUACACGAAUGUACAACCUGAUCGACUGGGAUAACCGGGAGGUCGGGGAGAGUGUGGUCAGCCGCAGACAUUACUGGGAAUAGACGCACUUUCAAACCACCAUAUAAAGCAGUGAGGGUGCCGAACACCCG
rnacentral:rRNA from 1 species